UAUAUGUUAAGUAGACAAGAAGAAGGACGUCAAAAUGAACACCAUGUGGAUAACUUUGUUUUUAGCUGCUUUUCUUUUAAUGACAAGUGAAGCAGGUCCUAUAACCGUUCCAGUUCUUACAACCAAACUAUCAACUACUUCGGAGUCGAAUCCUACAACUGGAUUUUCUCAAGGCAACAAACACUUUUCUCACCAUGAACAACCACAAAAACAUGUUUCAAAAUCAACUAAAAGCACAAAACAACACACGACAUUAGAGCCAACGCACAGGCAUACCUAAAAAGAAAGAAAAUUGUGCACACAAAAUCUGAAGUGCUGAAAGACAAUCCAAUAAUGACGGAGUCUAUCUUACUAAUUGUAUAACUUUAAAAUAUUAAGUCAAAAAUACAUCUUUUAUAUUAUUA